AGUAGCGCCAACUAUUUCCUAUUGGAUUUUGAGUUUAUUUGUUUUAGUUGCAAUAACAAAAUGUUGUGUUUUACCUUUCCUUUUAGUGAGCUCCUGUUUGUUUUCCCUCAGUGCUCAGAGAGACUCUGUAUUUCUCACAGGCAACAUUUUGAGCAGGGAAGUUCCCUCUGGGUAUGUUUUGUAGUUUGCAUACAAUGGUCUUCUUGUCCAAUUUCAGUUACUACAGCCAUAUUGUGUCCGUCUUGAAAACUCACCUUGACCCCAGCCAGCAGCCCAGAAAACAGUUUCUGCAGUUCCCCUGCCUUCUCAGAAGGCCCCAAAGGCUCCUUCCUUUGCUCUUUCUCCUUGAAUGGCUUUUCACACAAAGGCCAUUCAUUUGCCCUGUGAAAUGAGGUAUAACAGCUGGGUGCUACAACCAUAAUAAGGAACAUUAACACAUAUACCAGAACGAAGACUCUUGCUCAGGGCUUUCUGGAUAUGGCACUCUUCACUGCUAAUGCCUCACAAAUGAAACACCUUCUGCAACAAAGAACUGAUGCACAGUUUUAUUACUUUCUUUUUGUCCUUCUGUGCAUUUCAGUCAUCCUCCAGCUAAUGGUGGCAGCUUUAUUGAUCUACAAAGGGUCAAAGAAUAUAGAAAAUGAUGAUCCUGAGCACAGACUUAGUGACAGAGUUCACCUGCUGAAUAAUAUUGUGACAGGGCUAAUUCUGGUCAUCACAGCUGUCAAUGUCUUCAUCACUGCCUUCUGGUUUUCUCCUCUUCAGCUGACCCCUGAAGACCGAGAUUCUGCAGCUACAGGAACCAUUGCAGUGUGUUAACAGGAUCAUUACUAUGUGCAAAGUGCUCAAAGGGUGAAAAUAUAUUAUAGUAAACUUUUACACAGGAUUAUAAGGCUUAUAUCCAAAAACAAAUCAAAAUAAAAUUGAUUCUUUUUGGAUAGGGAAAUCAAAAUAAAACUGACUCUUUUUGGAUAGGGAAAAUCUUGGUCUUCAAGCAGGCAUGUUGCCCCUGCUCAGUUACACUACUUAUAAUCAAGUAGAAAUCACUAAUCUCAAAUUAAGUCUCUUUAUUUACAAGGUCAGUUAAUCCCAAAGUAGAUUAUUAAUCUGGCAUGUAAAAGGUAUUUCCCCUAAUAUUUAUGAUAAUUUAAAUGACAUUCUUCUUUCUUAGGUUGUUAGGUUAGGCAGUUUCCUGCACUUUCUUGCUUAUUGCUACAAUGAAUACUAUGACUAAUCUGGUAUCUGAACUGUUUUAUUCUUUGCCUGUUGGUUGUGAUAUGUAUGAACAUAGGUGUUGAUACCACCUCGACAGACAACUCUUGGAGUACAGGCAAUAGCUUUCAUAUCACCUCUCCCCAAGAGUUUUGUCUGCCUAUGCCUCUAGACCAACAAGGCUACAACAAAUAUACCUGAAACAUGGAAGAUAUAGUAAUUAGCCAUUUUGAACUGAAAACUUUGCAACAUAAGAAGAAAGAAGUAAAAUCCAGCAUCCUGCCUGCCAUUGGUCCCCUUGAAGUAAACACCUGGCUCCAGCCUGUGUUUGAGCCUAAUUUGCAUACUUACAGAGCAGCCUUUUUUACAAAAUAAAGAUAUUGAGUAUACCCAAGAGGUUUGUCUGCCUAUGCCUCUAGACCAACACAGCUACAACAAAUACCCUUGAUACCACUUGCACACUGUUUUAUACAAUUCAAGACUUGGUGAAAUACUUUCUGAUAGGCCUGAAAUGGGCUCAAAAUAGUACAUUGCUAUGAAUUCCUAUAGUCAAUAAUAUCCUUCCCAACAAUUAAAUUGCCUGAUAAAUGUUGUUCCUGGGAUUUGAUUUGUGAAAACACAAACUAAUUUCUUGAAUUGUAUGAAGCCCAAUGAUUCGAUGAAUCUAGAUACUUGCACUUUAAAUCUCUUUGAAUGUACAUAAAGAAUUCAUCAUAAAUGAUCUGCAGGUAAAGCAUUAGUUGUUAUGGGUGACAGUCCCCUCUGUGCAGUGAGUAUAAGUGAGACACGUUGUACCAAGCCACUGUGCUGGACCUCUGCCCAUUGGUGAAUUUUACUCUGAAUAAUUUGAAACAAAUGUGGCAAUCUGUUUGCUCAAAAUCCACAAACAAAGAGUUGAUGUAAUUUGUCUAAGAAAUGGCUUAGUGUGAAUUGCUGGCUCCCCUCUAAUGAUUCGGACAGUAAGAAUCCUUUCCUUGAGCAUCUUUUCUGCCACAGCUUCAUGGAUCAACUGCUAAACUUCACUAAUGCUACAGAGAUUAAAGCCAAUAUUUUACAUUGUCAGUGUUUUAUUUUGCAAGAACAAAAAUCUUGAACAAUAGCCAAGGCGGCUUCUGAGUUUUCCCCUCCCCCCCAAUUAAUCCUUUUUCCCCAUACACACCAUGGGUUUCCUAGGCUUGAUUAGAUUGUCCAGCUUUAGCUGCAGCAGUCUAUUUAGUCUGAAAGCUAUCUCCUGAUAAAUACUGACUAUGAGAUCCUACUUUGUAACACAAAGCUUCUGAUCUGCACAUUGGAAAUUGUAGGUGUUUCCUAUUUUUAUCUCACCAAAGAGCUGCAUCAGAAAAUAUCUGCAAAAAGUUAAACAGUUCAGAGUCACUUUCUUCAUCUUGUUUUCAUAUUAUAGCUGACAGAAAGAAGCAGGAGUUCCCAAAAUGGGAAUGUAUGAUUUUGACCCACUACCAUUUAAGUGCCAUCUCUUCCUCGGUCCUGUUAGUGUCCCCGAGGUGUUCAUCUGUCACAGAACAUUUCUGCUGAUGCCUUUUGACUGUGUGAG